GCCAAUAAUCUAGCCCGCCUAAUUUUAUAUACACCUACAAUACCCUCCCCCCUCCCCCAAAACAUUUUAUCUUUUAAGUAAAGGCGAUUGAAAAAUUUCUCGGCGCUUUAAAGCCAGUACCGCAAGGGAGUGAUGAAAUAAAAAUGAAAUAGCCUAAGC
rnacentral:rRNA from 1 species